rnacentral:rRNA from 1 species
UACGGGGGGGGCAAGCGUUGUUCGGAAUUACUGGGCGUAAAGGGCUCGUAGGUGGCCAACUAAGUCAGACGUGAAAUCCCUCAGCUUAACUGGGGAACUGCGUCUGAUACUGGAUGGCUUGGAUCCGGGAGAGGGAUGCGGAAUUCCAGGUGUAGCGGUGAAAUGCGUAGAUAUCUGGAGGAACACCGGUGGCGAAGGCGGCAUCCUGGACCGGUAUUGACGCUGAGGAGCGAAAGCCAGGGGAGCAAAGCGGGG